rnacentral:rRNA from 1 species
AUGAACGCUGGCGGCGUGCCUCAUCCAUGCCAGUCGCGCGAACAGACGAGGAGCUUGCUCCUCUGACGUUAGCGGCGGACGGGUGAGUAACACGUGGAUAACCUACCUAUAAGACUGGGAUAACUUCGGGAAACCGGAGCUAAUACCGGAUAAUAUAUUGAACCGCAUGGUUCAAUAGUGAAAGACGGUUUUGCUGUCACUUAUAGAUGGAUCCUCGCCGCAUUAGCUAGUUGGUAAGGUAACGGCUUACCAAGGCGACGAUGCGUAGCCGACCUGAGAGGGUGAUCGGCCAAACUGGAACUGAGACACGGUCCAGACUCCUACGGGAGGCAGCAGUAGGGAAUCUUCCGCAAUGGGCGAAAGCUUGACGGAGCAACGCCGCGUGAGUGAUGAAGGUCUUCGGAUCGUAAAACUCUGUUAUUAGGGAAGAACAAAUGUGUAAGUAACUAUGCACGUCUUGACGGUACCUAAUCAGAAAGCCACGGCUAACUACGUG